rnacentral:rRNA from 1 species
UACGUAGGGUGCGAGCGUUAAUCGGAAUUACUGGGCGUAAAGUGUGCGCAGGCGGCCGCGCAAGUCGAGUGUGAAAGCCCCGGGCUUAACUUGGGAAUUGCGCUCGAAACUACGUGGCUGGAGUGUGGCAGAGGAAGGUGGAAUUCCAGGUGUAGCGGUGAAAUGCGUAGAGAUCUGGAGGAACACCGAUGGCGAAGGCAGCCUUCUGGGCCAACACUGACGCUCAUGUACGAAAGCGUGGGGAGCAAACAGG